UACGUAGGGCGCAAGCGUUGUCCGGAAUUAUUGGGCGUAAAGAGCUCGUAGGUGGCCUGUCGCGUCGGCUGUGAAAACUCGGGGCUCAACUCCGAGCUUGCAGUCGAUACGGGCAGGCUAGAGUUCGGCAGGGGAGACUGGAAUUCCUGGUGUAGCGGUGAAAUGCGCAGAUAUCAGGAGGAACACCGGUGGCGAAGGCGGGUCUCUGGGCCGACACUGACGCUGAGGAGCGAAAGCGUGGGGAGCGAACAGG
rnacentral:rRNA from 1 species